GACGAACCGUGCAAACGUUGUUCGGAAUCACUGGGCUUAAAGGGCGCGUAGGCGGGCAAGCAAGUCGAAGGUGAAAUCCCACGGCUCAACCGUGGAAGUGCCCCCGAUACUGCUUGUCUUGAGGGAGAUAGGGGCGUGCGGAACUUCCGGUGGAGCGGUGAAAUGCGUAGAUAUCGGAAGGAACACCGGUGGCGAAAGCGGCGCGCUGGAUCUCUUCUGACGCUGAGGCGCGAAAGCCAGGGGAGCCAAAGCGGG
rnacentral:rRNA from 1 species